UACAUCUCCCAGCCAGUGUAUAUGUUAUUGACAAUGUGAAAAUAUCCAUGCCUGCACCUGCAACAAUGUAAAUAUAUAGAGAUGCUUAGAGCUAUCUGCAGGAUCGUCAUUGUCGGAAUCUGUGACCACAUAAAACUCACCGUCUCGUCCUCCUACAGCAUUUCGCCCGAAUCCAAUUGCACAAUCGGCUAGCAUUUUCCUGUUGGUUUCCCAUUCGGAGUCGCACCUCCAGCAAUCAUCAAUUGGGUUACCAAAUCUGCAUGAUUCUUUCUCCAGCAGACUUCUUCUUGAGCUCCUGUAUAUAAAAACAUUGCAACAAUUAUUCAAAACAUACAGAACUUGAGCUACAAUAUCCUAAUCUCUACUGAAACUGCUUGAAUUAUUCUCACCACUCAGUUGCUUCUGAUAUUUGUUUUGUUAGAUGUUUAGAAUAUAUGGAAGUGACUAGCGAGAUCAUGGCAAGAGAGAGGAGAAAGAAGGUUGACAUAUUUUUUGGAGGCAAAUGUGCUUAACUACAACAUUGAUUGGGUAGCUUUAAGCUAACUUAGACUAUGAUGGUGGUUCAGAGAUUUGAGCUUAUAUAGUGUUUAUAGGUUCCCAUGGGAACAACUUGCACACUUGCAUAAACUUUAUCAUAACUCAAUACAUAACCAUUAACUAAGUUACAAUUAUUAAUUUUCUGCACAUGAAUGGGAAAUUUUCAUUCUAUUUUAGUUUUUAAGUAGGAUAAUGAAUCUAAUCAUGUGGGUAAUGUAUAGGUGGUAUACAAAUCAUUGCAAGAUUGAGAUUGUAGGAAUUAAAUGACACCGAAAAAGCUGGUUUUUGGUCAUUGCAAAUUGAAUGAAAAAUAAAUUGAAGAGAUGGGAGAUUCAGAAAGUGACAAGCUUGAAGUCGCAAGAACCGCUUAUUUAGAGAUGCAGGAGCAGUAAUAAAUUGAGCAGGUUUUGCUGUAGCUCUUCAUUGAAUGACGGGACAGCAGGUAUUACGGACCGAACAGGUAGCUAUGUUGGUAGGUCUGUAAUUGGUUCAUUCCGAAUUUGUACCCAACAAUGCUGUGGUUUGCAUAAUUGGCUGACAAUGGGACUCCCUAAUUAGCUCUUUCA